rnacentral:rRNA from 1 species
CCUAUGGGAGGCAGCAGUGGGGAAUAUUGGACAAUGGGGGGAACCCUGAUCCAGCCAUGCCGCGUGUGUGAAGAAGGCCCUCGGGUUGUAAAGCACUUUCAGUGAGGAAGAACGCCUGGUGGUUAAUACCCAUCAGGAAAGACAUCACUCACAGAAGAAGCACCGGCUAACUCCGUGCCAGCAGCCGCGGUAAUACGGAGGGUGCGAGCGUUAAUCGGAAUUACUGGGCGUAAAGCGCGCGUAGGUGGCUUGAUAAGCCGGUUGUGAAAGCCCCGGGCUCAACCUGGGAACGGCAUCCGGAACUGUCAAGCUAGAGUGCAGGAGAGGAAGGUAGAAUUCCCGGUGUAGCGGUGACAUGCGUAGAGAUCGGGAGGAAUACCAGUGGCGAAGGCGGCCUUCUGGACUGACACUGACACUGAGGUGCGAAAGCGUGGGUAGCAAACAGGAUUAGAUACCCUGGUAGUC